GCCCGGGUGGUGAAAUUGGUAGACACGCCACUUUGAGGGGGUGGUGCCGGUUACGGUGUGUGAGUUCGAAUCUCAUCUCGGGCAC
rnacentral:tRNA from 1 species